AUCAAAAUUCCCCUGACAUUCACUGUUGCUUCAUUCCUGAGAAUUAUUUAAUGCUUCCUUCGUGCAUAUGGAUGGAUACCACCUCACCAACAAAACACUGACUUAAAAAAAGACUUAGAACAUGACAAAUGAGCAGCACAGAAUGUGGAAAAGUUAGCAGCUGCUGCUGGUCUACUGUGACACACCAAACAGUACCUGAACCACACUUGGCAGAAGGGGAACAAAACUGCACUUACUUCAGCUUGCUGAUCCUGGCUUCUGCAGUUUCAGUGAGUUUUUUUGUUUCUUCUUUCCACCGGUUUGUUGCUUUUUGCUGAGCUACUAAGAGACGUCUGAGCUCAGCAGUGGAUUUGUGACUGGUGUCCUCCAUCUCCUUGAGUCGAGCUUCAUAGCCAUGCUCUUUCACUGCAUGCUCA